GGUACACAUUGCUGUCCAGCCAGCUGCCAGUGGACCUUCCUUGUAAGUAACUCCUCAGUAAACCCACAUAUCUCGUUCGCUGACUCUGGGUCUUUUCUUUGGUCUCUUGGCAACCUAUCCCGCACUGCUCACCCAGCUGGGUGUGUGGUAGAACACUUGGCGAAGACAGAAAAACCCCCAUGAGUGCUGAGACUAUGGGCGAUGGAAGGGGAAUCUGCAGGGGUAAUCCUGGGUCCGCCCUGUGGGGGCUGGCUGCCACUAUCCUUGAAGGAGAGGGCCCACUGUACCUUCAGGAAGCCUCCGGAUCCCUCCUCACCCACCUAUGCCAACAAGGAUGGGUGGUAAACGACAACAAAAGCAGGUGGAGCCCAUAACCUGUUCCCUGCUGGUCACAAUCCGUACUCAUCCGCCCAUUGCCAGGUGGCUGCAGGACGCUCUCCAGAAGCCCCACUCGAGAGCAACCCAAACACAGACAUUGGCAAAAUGGCAUGCACACUUACAACGACGAGGGACCCUGACCAACAGUCCCCUCAGUGCCGAACUGCAUGCCAUCCUGGGGCCAGUAACAUACACCACAGAAAAAACAACCCUGUUAGAUGAGGCGCCCAUGCCUGAAACCCUGCCAAACGUACAGAAAGGAGAAGGACCAAUCCCAGUGGAGGCCUGGUAUAUGGAUGGCUCUGCAAGGGGCAACCCCCCUCCCGACUCCCCAGUGGACAGCACUAGCCAUCCAGCCUUCGACCGACAGCGUGUGGUUGGACUGUGGCUCUGGGUACAAUAGUCAAUGGGCUGAACUGCGAGCUGCCUGGAUGGUGCUGACUCGUGAACCCGAUCCAAUGCGUCUGUGCAUGGACAGGUGGGCGGUCUACAAAGGGCUCACCCUGUGGAUGGCACAGAGGGCACAACAAAAGUGGACAAUUAAUGGUCGCCCAUUGUGGGGGGCAGAACUCUGGGAUGAUAUCUGGCAGCAGGUCCAGGGAAUGACAGUAACAGUGUACCAUGUGUCUGCACAUCAGGCGAUGACGCCACCAGGGAACCAACAAGCAGAUGAGUUAGCUUGGAUUCGUCUCCUGGAAGAAGUGCCAGCCAAAAGAGUGGCAGAGCAGCUACACAAGAAGACUGGCACAAAGGACAAAGAAUCCUAGGGGCUAUUGCCAAGGCCUGGGGCCUCCCCCUGCACUAUGCUGGUGUGGUGCAGGUCUGUCGGGUGUGCCCUUCUUGCUCCUCGCAGAGACCCUGGGCCAUUCCCUGGGACACAGGCCAAAUAGCCAGAAACAACGCUGGCAAGUGGACUACAUUGGGCCCUUGCCUCUUUCUGAUGGCUGUCGGCAUGCUCUCACUUGUGUGGGGACAUCUACAGGACUGCUACAGACAUACCCCAGCAAAAGGGCCACAGCAUGAGGCCUGGGACGUCUCUGUGCUGCAUACGGUGUUCCCACAGACAUCAACAGUGACAAAGGUAUGCAUUUUACUGGCCAUCAGGUACAGACACGGGCUGGUCAAAUGGACAUACAUUGGCAUUCUCACCUGCCACACAAUCCCAUGGCCACAAGGCUGGUAGAACAAAUGAAUGGCUUCCUGAAACAAUUGAGGAUAGAAGACAGAACCCUAGCCCACUAGACAAGACACCUGGCAACUGCAAUACGUCAACUGAAUGAACAUGAGAGGCGCACCCAACCCAACGCAUAUGAGAUGUUGACACAAGGACCUGAUACAACAGUGCGUCUACAGACAAGGGAUCAUCAAAGAGACAAACUACAGCCACAGAUGAGCACUCAGAACAACUUGCUUUUUCCUCUGCCACAGAACUCCCUACUGGGACCCACAUGGUCACUUGCCCUGGGACUGGCAGGUAGGAGCCCCACUGGUAUAGUCUCUUAACCCCUUGGGGGACAGGCUUAAAACAGGAUAUCACAGUAACACCUCCCGUUCCUCAAGGCACUUUCAUCCUCUCCCCUCUGGUGUGUCUUGUUGGAUGGUCAUGAUCUCUCCGUCUUAGUUCCCUCUCAAUAUCUUACUUUUCAUCCUUAGGACAAUGUCUGCCAACCUUUUCACCACUUAGGCACACACCAUUGCUGACACACAAAACCACUCCAACUGCUGGGUAUGCAGGGAGCGGCCUCUCUUCAACCACGGGGUUACCAUGGCGUCUCCAAGCUGCCAACGCCUCUGACUGGAGAGCCCUGUGAGAGUGAAGGAGCGCUGCCCACCUUCCCAUUCCUACCCCUCCGCCUGAGAGGGGGGACAUGCUUGCUUUGGUGUCCCUGCCUUUUCACUGCUGCUUUUAUUUUCAUGUUGUGCUCUCUACUGCUGUUGUGGUCUGACUACAGCGCUCCUCUCUGUGUCUGGCUGGAGGGAAACCAUGACAGAGUGGCGCAACGUGGACACUGUGGGGUGGAGUGCAGGGUCACUGGCUGGCACGUCCCUUUAAACCAUGUGUCCUUGAGGCCCCUUGUCUGAGCCUAAUGCCAGCAUUCACGAUCACGACAGUCCUGGGCUUGGCCAACCCAGCUGCUUUCUCGGGGUAGAGCACCAAGACCCUCGAGGUCAGAGGGAACAAGAGGGGGGUCUCCAGUCCUUGGAACACAGGUCAUACAGGGACAGUCCCCUGUGGCAAGCAUGCAGCCUUUGCUCCUCUGCCUACUUAAGCAAGCUUCUCUCAGGGGUCCAUAGCCAGUCCACAUUACUGUCCAGCCAUGGCCACUGGACCUUUUCUGUAAACAGCUCCCGAUAAACCCAUAUGUCUUGUUGACUGUCUCUGAGUCUUUUCUUGGGUUUCUCGGCAGCCUAUCCCCCACUGCUCACCCUGCUGGGCAAGUGGGGGACCAGAGAAGAGAUGUGUCUGACAAGAUUGUUGCUGGCACAGGAG
rnacentral:lncRNA from 1 species